rfam:Gossypium arboreum cultivar AKA8401 contig_241_3, whole genome shotgun sequence.
UGUUAAAAACUUCAUCUAUUAGGACUUUUAAAAACUAACGUAGCUGGUAGUAUAACCAGACAAUGGCAUGUGACGUGCCAUUUUAACAGUAAAAAUGAAUGGAAAUUUUAACA